AACGAACGCUGGCGGCACGUUUUAAGCAUGCAAGUCGGACGGCAGCAGGGGCAACCCUGUGAGAGUGGCGAACGGGUGAGUAACACGUAGGUGAUCUGCCCUGGGGAUGGGGACAGCCUGUGGAAACACAGGGUAAUACCGAAUAAGCUGACGAGACUUUGGUUUUGUCAGUAAAGGUGCUACGGCACCGCCCUGGGAGGAGCCUGCGGCUGAUUAGCUAGUUGGUGGGGUAAGAGCCUACCAAGGCGACGAUCAGUAGCCGGCCUGAGAGGGUGUACGGCCACACUGGGACUGAGACACGGCCCAGACUCCUACGGGAGGCAGCAGCGAAGAAUCUUCCGCAAUGGGCGAAAGCCUGACGGAGCGAUGCCGCGUGAUCGAUGAAGGUCGAGAGAUUGUAAAGAUCUUUUCUCCAUGAGGAAUAAGUCCCUGAGGGAAUGCGGGGAUGAUGACGUUAGUGGAGGAAUAAGCCCCGGCUAAUUACGUGCCAGCCGCCGCGGUAA
rnacentral:rRNA from 1 species